rnacentral:rRNA from 1 species
CGACGUUGAUAGGCCGGGUGUGUAAGCGCAGCGAUGCGUUGAGCUAACCGGUACUAAUGAACCGUGAGGCUUAACCUUACAACGCCAAAGAAGU